rnacentral:rRNA from 1 species
AAAUUGAAGAGUUUGAUCAUGGCUCAGAUUGAACGCUGGCGGCAGGCCUAACACAUGCAAGUCGAGCGGAAACGACAACAUUGAAUCUUCGGAGGAUUUGUUGGGCGUCGAGCGGCGGACGGGUGAGUAAUGCCUAGGAAAUUGCCUUGAUGUGGGGGAUAACCAUUGGAAACGAUGGCUAAUACCGCAUAAUGCCUACGGGCCAAAGAGGGGGACCUUCGGGCCUCUCGCGUCAAGAUAUGCCUAGGUGGGAUUAGCUAGUUGGUGAGGUAAUGGCUCACCAAGGCGACGAUCCCUAGCUGGUCUGAGAGGAUGAUCAGCCACACUGGAACUGAGACACGGUCCAGACUCCUACGGGAGGCAGCAGUGGGGAAUAUUGCACAAUGGGCGAAAGCCUGAUGCAGCCAUGCCGCGUGUAUGAAGAAGGCCUUCGGGUUGUAAAGUACUUUCAGUUGUGAGGAAGGGUGUGUAGUUAAUAGCUGCGCAUCUUGACGUUAGCAACAGAAGAA